rnacentral:rRNA from 1 species
UACAGAGGGUGCGAGCGUUGUCCGGAAUCACUGGGCGUAAAGGGCGCGUAGGCGGCUUGAUAAGGUUGCGGUGAAAGCCCGGGGCUCAACCCCGGGUCGGCCGUGGCAACUGUCGAGCUGGAGCACUGUAGAGGCAGGUGGAAUUCCGGGUGUAGCGGUGGAAUGCGUAGAGAUGUGGAGGAACACCGAUGGCGAAGGCAGCCCCCUGGGUCAAGAUUGACGCUCAUGCACGAAAGCGUGGGGAUCAAACAGG